rnacentral:rRNA from 1 species
CAGUAGCCGCGGUAAUACGUAGGGUGCAAGCGUUAAUCGGAAUUACUGGGCGUAAAGCGUGCGCAGGCGGUUUUGUAAGACAGAGGUGAAAUCCCCGGGCUCAACCUGGGAACUGCCUUUGUGACUGUAUAGCUAGAGUACGGCAGAGGGGGAUGGAAUUCCGCGUGUAGCAGUGAAAUGCGUAGAUAUGCGGAGGAACACCGAUGGCGAAGGCAAUCCCCUGGGCCUGUACUGACGCUCAUGCACGAAAGCGUGGGGAGCAAACAGGAUUAGAUACCCGGGUAGUCCCUGUCUCUUAUAC